UGUAAGUCGUGGGUCGAACGUCACGUAGUACGACGGGGGCGAUCGUUGAGCGGUAUUACUGGGAGGAAAGCGCAUGUUGUCGGAGGCUUAAGUCGUUGUUGAAAGGCUGCGGUUCAAUCGUCGAUCUGCCGUGGAGACUGGGGGGCUUGAGUGCGGGAGAGGUGAGUGGAAAUGUGAGUGUAGUGGUGAAAUUCGUAGAUAUUUGCAAGAACACCAGUGGCGAAGGCGACUUACUGGCCCGGUACUGACGCUGAGGUGCGAAAGCGUGGGGAGCAAACAGGAUUAGAUACCCGCGUAGUC
rnacentral:rRNA from 1 species